GGAGGAGAUCUCUAAGUCGGCGAAGGGAUCUUUGGAAUGGCCCUUCAGGACCUGGAGUUGUCGGUGGAGAUCGUCCACCCGCCGGUCCAAGGAGCGCGACCGGUGGGUGGGAGACAAGGAGCGGCGAGAGGGGGACCGACUGGAGCGCGGGUUCCUCGAGGACUGGGGGGUCUGGGAACGCGCCCGGGCCCGCCUCUCA
rnacentral:lncRNA from 1 species